GAGGGACAAGACAGGGGAGUGUUGGUCUUACUACUGGCUGGCCCCCCCUUCCCUUCCUUUUUCUAGCUUUCUUCUUUUUGUGGGGUUCCUUAUUUCUCGCUUGCCCUCCUCUGUGCUCUAUCGUUUGCAGUGCAUACAUGUAGUAACAGAUGCACUAUCUCUCUCUCUCUCUCUGCGUCUGUCUGUCUGUCUGUGUUGUAUAAGAUCUCUCUGCUGUCGUUGGGUUUAAGGAUUUCUUGCUAAGUCGGUGGUCGUGCCUCUUCUUUCUUGGUUCUCGGCCCCUUUGCGUUCUCUCAAAACUGAAAAGCCGUGAGCUUUUACCCUCUCGUCUAUGUAGCUUUGGGAUUCUCCUUUGCUGGCUGUUCUUGAAGCAAGCUUUCCCUCCCAGAAGUGAGUGUUUACAAAUGGAAGGAGAAUCAGGAGAUGGUGAGGCAUGCCCGCAGCUAGAGCUCCGGCUUGGACCCCCCGGUGGCGUUGGCGGAAGAGAAGAUCACUGGACCCUCAAGAACAGAGCCCACACCAGCAAGGACUGCCAUGAGUCUCGUCCUCUGGUCUCGUCUUUUGGCUACUUCCCUACCCAGACGGCCCCUAAUCAAUACUCUCUGGGCUUCCCUUCCACAAUCCCUCGGCCUCAACACAACAGAAUGCCGCCUUCUUCUAAGGAACCGGAGAGACUGGGGGAGAUAGAGAUGAAUGACUCAAAAGGCAAGGCUUUUUCUUCAAUCGCAGCCGUACCCAGCAGCUCCCUGAAAAGGAGUGCUCCUUCUCCUGUAGUCGGGUGGCCUCCAAUCAGGUCAUUUAGGAAGAACCUUGCAAGUACAACCACAAACCAAGCCAAGCAACCGUGUCCACCUCCUCCCACUCCUCCGGAGUCCCAAACUACGAAGAAACCCGCGAGCGAGAAGCCUGCCGCUUUCAAAAAUGGCUCAAAGGGAUUGUUUGUUAAGAUCAACAUGGAUGGUGUCCCCAUCGGAAGGAAAGUCGAUCUCAGGGCCUACGACAGCUACAAGAAGCUCUCUGCUGCUGUCGAUGACCUCUUCAGAGGCCUUCUUGCUGCCCAAAGAGAUUCCUCUGCUGGUGGAAUACAGAGCAAGGAAGAGGAAGAGAAACCAAUCACGGGCUUGCUGGAUGGAAGAGGAGAAUAUACUCUUGUUUAUGAGGACUACGAAGGGGACAGGAUGCUUGUUGGGGAUGUGCCAUGGCAGUAAGCACUGAUGUUCGUUUCGACGGUGAAGAGACUCCGAGUGCUGAAGAGUUCCGAACUCUCGGUUCUCAGCAUUGGGUGCAGGAAGCAAGACGAGGGUUCAGGGGCUCUGCAUUAAAGUGAAUAUAUAUAUCUAUACAUAUAUAUAUAUAUAUAUAUAUAUAUAUAUUGAAGAACUGAACUAAAGCAAGACAAGACUUUUGUUCUGUGUAGUUCUAGAGACUUAAGACUUUUUUUUAUAUUAAUUUAAUUGCAUAGGGUAACUGCUUCUUCUAUGUAAUUUCAUCAUCUCAGAUUAAUGAUGGAAGGAAAGAAGUAAUAUUAUUUAGGAGCUAGCUUAAUGCUUGCAAUUUCAAAGUAGUGGUUAGAUUAUCUUGAAAGGGUGGAUGGUUUUGUUUGUUUGCUGAAUGUCAAUGAAUGUUCAUAUCCUGUUUCAUUAA